rnacentral:rRNA from 1 species
CCUACGGGUGGCAGCAGUAGGGAAUAUUGCUCAAUGGGGGAAACCCUGAAGCAGCAACGCCGCGUGGGGGAUGAAGGUUUUCGGAUUGUAAACCCCUUUUGUUAGAGAAGAUAAUGACGGUACCUAACGAAUAAGCACCGGCUAACUCCGUGCCAGCAGCCGCGGUAAUACGGAGGGUGCAAGCGUUACUCGGAUUCACUGGGCGUAAAGAGCGCGUAGGCGGGAUAGCAAGUCAGAUGUGAAAGCCUAUGGCUUAACCAUAGAACUGCAUUUGAAACUGUUAUUCUAGAGUAUGGGAGAGGUAGGCGGAAUUCUUGGUGUAGGGGUAAAAUGCGUAGAGAUCAAGAGGAAUACUCAUUGCGAAGGCGACCUGCUGGAACAUAACUGACGCUGAUGCGCGAAAGCGUGGGGAGCAAACAGGAUUAGAUACCCGAGUAGUC